GGUAGAUUACGGGUCAUAGUUGCCGUCCCCGGUCAACUUCUAACCUAUAACUCCCAAAAGCACACAAAGAUCGACAUACUCUCACCCAACUCUCAACCUCCCGGUUAUCGAAUUGAUAUGUUUCAAACACCUUAUCUAUUGCAAUUAUCCUCUCCCGAUUCAAAGUGCAAAUUAGAAAUGCAUAGAAUGUGGCCAACAAUCCAUACAAGAAUAAAACAAGGUUUUGAAAAGAUAAUGUGCAAAUGAACAAACAAGAUUUAUAUUGAGCAUAAAUAAUCAAUCCAUUACAAUAAUCAUCUAGCCUAAUCCCCAAAUCAAAGAGAAAUUUAGCCUAACAUGUUCAAACACAAUAAAUCAAAGUUAAAGGUGUACAUAAUGAAAGAGAGAGUAAGAAAUAACAAAUCCUAUUUAUGAGCUUCUUCUUCCUUCUCUUCUCUUCAAUGGUCUUCAAUGGUAGAUGGGUGUGUUAAAGGAGGCUAGGGUUUAGUGUGUGGAGU
rnacentral:lncRNA from 1 species